rnacentral:ncRNA from 1 species
GGCUUGUGGCAGCGGCAGCCAAGCGGCCAAGCGUUCACAAGCGUUCAUAAGCGUUCAUAGCGGUUCAUAGCGACUAGCGACGUUGCUUUUUGAUCCUUCGAUGUCGGCUCUUCCUAUCAUUGUGAAGCAGAAUUCACCAAGUGUUGGAUUGUGCUCCCACCAAUAGGGAACGUGAGCUGGGUUUAGACCGUCGUGAGACAGGUUAGUUUUACC